rnacentral:rRNA from 1 species
GACAGAGGUCCCGAGCGUUAGGCGGAAUCACUGGGCUUAAAGCGUGUGUAGGCGGACUUGUAAGUACCUUGUGAAAUCCCACGGCUUAACCGUGGAACUGCUUGGUAUACUGCUUGUCUUGGGCCACUUAGGGGCUACCGGAACAAACGGUGGAGCGGUGAAAUGCGUAGAUAUCUGCAGGAACACCCGUGGCGAAAGCGGCGCGCUGGACCACUACUGACGCUGAGGAACGAAAGCUAGGGGAGCAAACAGG